AUGAACGCUGGCGGCGUGCCUAAUACCUGCAAGUCGAGCGAACAGACGAGGAGCUUGCUCCUCUGACGUUAGCGGCGGACGGGUGAGUAACACGUGGAUAACCUACCUAUAAGACUGGGAUAACUUCGGGAAACCGGAGCUAAUACCGGAUAAUAUAUUGAACCGCAUGGUUCAAUAGUGAAAGACGGUUUUGCUGUCACUUAUAGAUGGAUCCGCGCCGCCUUAGCUAGUUGGUAAGGUAACGGCUUACCAAGGCAACGAUGCGUAGCCGACCUGAGAGGGUGAUCGGCCACACUGGAACUGAGACACGGUCCAGACUCCUACGGGAGGCAGCAGUAGGGAAUCUUCCGCAAUGGGCGAAAGCCUGACGGAGCAACGCCGCGUGAGUGAUGAAGGUCUUCGGAUCGUAAAACUCUGUUAUUAGGGAAGAACAAAUGUGUAAGUAACUAUGCACGUCUUGACGGUACCUAAUCAGAAAGCCACGGCUAACUACGUG
rnacentral:rRNA from 1 species